rnacentral:rRNA from 1 species
UACGGAGGGUGCAAGCGUUGUCCGGAUUUACUGGGUUUAAAGGGUGCGCAGGCGGAUAUGUAAGUCAGUGGUGAAAUCUCUAGGCUUAACCUGGAAAUUGCCGUUGAUACUAUAUAUCUUGAAUGCUGUGGAGGUAAGCGGAAUAUGUCAUGUAGCGGUGAAAUGCUUAGAUAUGACAUAGAACACCUAUUGCGAAGGCAGCUUACUACGCAGAUAUUGACGCUCAUGCACGAAAGCGUGGGGAUCAAACAGG